rfam:TPA: Bos taurus chromosome 11, whole genome shotgun sequence.
UCCCUAGUGGCUCAGACGGUAAAGCGUCUGUCUGCAGUGCAGGAGACCCAGGUUUGAUCCCUGGGUUGGGAA